rnacentral:rRNA from 1 species
UACGGAGGGUGCGAACGUUAAUCGGAAUCACUGGGCGUAAAGCGCGCGUAGGCGGUUUGUUAAGUGGGAUGUGAAAGCCCCGGGCUUAACCUGGGAAUUGCAUUUCAAACUGGCGAACUAGAGUGCGGUAGAGGGAGGUAGAAUUUCCUGUGUAGCGGUGAAAUGCGUAGAUAUAGGAAGGAAUACCAGUGGCGAAGGCGGCUCACUGGACUGGUAUUGACGCUGAGGUGCGAAAGCGUGGGGAGCAAACAGG